CGCAAGCCUGAUGCAGCCAUGCCGCGUGUAUGAAGAAGGCCUCGGGUUGUAAAGUACUUUCAGCAGUGAGGAAGGUGGAUAUGUUAAUAGCAUACUCAUUUGACGUUAGCUGCAGAAGAAGCACCGGCUAACUCCGUGCCAGCAGCCGCGGUAAUACGGAGGGUGCGAGCGUUAAUCGGAAUUACUGGGCGUAAAGCGCAUGCAGGUGGUUUGUUAAGUCAGAUGUGAAAGCCCGGGGCUCAACCUCGGAAUUGCAUUUGAAACUGGCAAACUAGAGUACUGUAGAGGGGGUAGAAUUUCAGGUGUAGCGGUGAAAUGCGUAGAGAUCUGAAGGAAUACCGGUGGCGAAGGCGGCCCCCUGGACAGAUACUGACACUCAGAUGCGAAAGCGUGGGGAGCAAACAGGAUUAGAUACCCUGGUAG
rnacentral:rRNA from 1 species